AACGUAGGUACCGGAGCGUUAUCCGGAUUUACUGGGCGUAAAGGCGCGAUUCAGGCGGUUUGGCAAGUCGGGCAUGAAAUCUCUCGGACCUCAACCGGGAGAGGUUGUCCGGAUACUUCCAGACUUGAGGGCAGUAGAGGGUGGUGGAAUUCCGGGUGUAGUGGUGAAAUGCGUAGAUAUCCGGAGGAACACCAGUGGCGAAAGCGGCCACCUGGACUGCACCUGACGCUGACACGCGAAAGCUAGGGGAGCGAACGGG
rnacentral:rRNA from 1 species